rnacentral:rRNA from 1 species
UACAUGGGGUGCAAACGUUGCUCGGAAUUAUUGGGCGUAAAGCGCACGUAGGCGGUCUUCUAAGUCGGAUGUGAAAGCCCUCGGCUUAACCGAGGAAGUGCAUCCGAAACUGGAAGGCUUGAGUACAGAAGAGGGUCGCGGAAUUCCCGGUGUAGAGGUGAAAUUCGUAGAUAUCGGGAGGAACACCGGUGGCGAAGGCGGCGACCUGGGCUGAUACUGACGCUGAGGUGCGAAAGCGUGGGGAGCAAACAGG